CCGCAAGGCUAAAACCCAAAGGAAUUGACGGGGGCUUACACAAGCGGUGGAGCAUGUGGUUUAAUUCGAAACAACGCGCAAAACCUUACCAAUCCUUGACAUAUGAAAAACCAGGGUGUUUACCCGCUCUGUCUCUUUUAUACAGGUGCUGCAUGGCUGUCGUCAGUUCGUGGUGUGAGCUGUUGGGUUAAGUCCCAGAACGAACGCAACCCUCCUUUGAAAUGAAGGUUUACCUUUUUCAAAGACUGCCAAGGAUAUCUUGGAGGAAGGUGAGGAUGACGUCAAGUCCGCAUGGCCCUUAUGGGUUGGGCUACACACGUGCUACAAUGGGAAUGACAAAAGGAGGCAACAUGGCAACAUUGAGCAAAUCCCAAAAAGUUUCCUUAGUUCGGAUUGUUCUCUGCAACUCGAGAACAUGAAGUUGGAAUCGCUAGUAAUCGUAGAUCAGCAUGCUACGGUGAAUUUGUAUCUAAGCCUUGUACACACCGCCCGUCACACUCUGAAAAUUUUCAUGCCUUGAAGCAAAAGAAGUUCACCAAGAACACACAGCGCAAUUAAAAAAAAACAUCUUCCCUUUUUUUUCUGUGUCUUUGUUGGAACCUUUUCUAGAGUUAGGGAGGUGAUUGGAGUG
rnacentral:rRNA from 1 species